CCAAUAGCGUAUAUUAAAGUUGUUGCAGUUAAAAAGCUCGUAGUUGAAUUUCGGGAUCAAUACGUCGGUCGUGCCUCUGGUAUGUACUGGUGUUAUUGAUUUCUCCCUUCUGAUGAAUCAUGAUGUCAUUAAUUUGGUGUUGUGUGGAGUCAGGACUGUUACUUUGAAAAAAUUAGAGUGUUUAAAGCAGGCUCACGCCUGAAUACAUUAGCAUGGAAUAAUGAAAUAGGACGUUCGAUCCUAUUUUGUUGGUUUCUAGGAUCAACGUAAUGAUUAAUAGGGAUAGUUGGGGGCAUUAGUAUUCAAUUGUCAGAGGUGAAAUUCUUGGAUUUAUUGAAGACUAACUACUGCGAAAGCAUUUGCCAAGGAUGUUUUCAUUAAUCAAGAACGAAAGUUAGGGGAUCGAAGACGAUCAGAUACCGUCGUAGUCUUAACCAUAAACUAUGCCGACUAGGGAUCGGAUGAUGUUAAUUUUUUAAUGACUCAUUCGGCGCCUUACG
rnacentral:rRNA from 1 species